rnacentral:lncRNA from 1 species
CCCACUGCCAUGCCUCUGACCUCCUGCCUCCUCAGUCUCUGGUGUCCAGCAGGAAAGAAUCCAGGGCUCCAAAUCUCUCCAGGGCCAUGUGAUACCCUGGCCUACGGGAAGAUGCCGUGGUCACGUUUCCUAGGCUCCUCCAGGUAGCCGAGCCUCAGCCACCAGGGCCACAGACUUCCCUGCUGCCUUGAGGGACCUACAGGACUAACAGGAGCUGCUCUUCCUCGUACGACUCCUACCCACCCAGGAUAUCACUUGACCUCUCUGAGCCUGCUUCCUCCUGGAGACAACAGUGUAUACUUAGGGCUAUUGCGGGGAAUGACAAGGAAAAUGGAUGAAAAUGUGCUGGAGAAAUUCUGAGGCAUCAGACAGAUGAAAGUGUGCCGACUGCCCCAAGCUGACCCAGUGCGGAUCCUAACUGGCCCCACCAGCAUCUUCCAUGCUCACCCAGCUGGCCCAUGUCUUGAAGAUGCCCUGGGCUCCCAGCUCUGCCACCCCAGCUUUCUGAGUCUCC